GACUUUAUAUUAAAUGGAUUUUUGGAACUGGGAGAUGGACUCGGCGCUUGCUCCAUCCACUCCACGCAUUGGCCUGGUAUUGAAGUGCCUCCAGGAGCGGUCCUCCAGGA
rnacentral:snRNA from 1 species